UCUCCGUUGGUGAACCAGCGGAGGGAUCAUUAUUGAGUGUUACAACUCCCAAACCCACUGUGGACCUUACCAUUCGUUGCUUCGGCAGGAGAUCCUGACGCUGUAAGGCGCUGGUUCCCUUGCCGAGGGCCUAAAUUCUUGAUUUACUUAGUGGAAUUCUCUCUGAGUGGCAAAUGCAAAUAAAUUAAAACUUUCAACAACGGAUCUCUUGGUUCUG
rnacentral:misc_RNA from 1 species